rnacentral:rRNA from 1 species
AUAAGAUUCAUAGUCGAAAGGGCAACAGCCCAGAUCGUCAGCUAAGGUCCCUAAAUGUAAGUUAAGUGGUAAAGGAUGUGGGAGUGCACAGACAACCAGGAUGUUGGCUUAGAAGCAGCCACUCAUUCAAAGAGUGCGUAAUAGCUCACUGGUCGAGUGAUCCUGCGCCGAAGAUUUCCGGGGCUAAAACUUACUACCGA